rnacentral:lncRNA from 1 species
CAAGCUGCUUGUAUUCACUGAGCACAAGUAGUGAUGCAUUCACUGUGCAGCCUUUAAUAAACGGCCAAACAGAACUUACCCUAGGGCUGCCUUUGGUGGGCUGUCAGCCAGUUUGCCACCUCUGCUCGACAUUUAUCUCUAUUAGAAGCACAGAUUGGAAAGUUGCCACCGGCUUCUGAUGUCAGAUAAUGUGCCAUCCAGCUACACAUUAAUAAAUAAGGAUAGGAAAUAGAAUCACAGCUUUUGGCCUUUCUGUGGGAGAAAGACUAUGGACUUUAGGGCACCCAGUUUCUGAACAAAUUAAAGACGUUUCUAUAGAAUUAUGGUUAGCAGUUUUCAAAUCUGAGCAUCUGCUAUUUUGUGCCCAGUAAUGUGCCAGGUAGACGUAAUAGAGAACAUAAAAGAAGCAGAAAAAUACUAUUAGCAGUUUUAGAGCCACCUACAACUUUGUCGGAGAAAUAUGACAACACGCUGGCAGUAAUAGUACAUGAGCACGUUUGAGUAAGGUUCAAGGUGUGCUGUUCAGAUAACGACUAUUAGGGGAGCUUUGUAUUGCAUAGUGGAGACUGGACCUAACACAGGGGAAACACGUGACUGUUUCAACAGUUCCAUCAUCCACAAGCCCUGGGAAAUACAAAAUGUCAUCCCACGUUUACCAUCUUCAAAGCCUUGAAAUACAGCUUGACUAUCAGCACUGAGACAAAAAUUGGCCAGUGAUCUUUUUCUGCAUUGACUUUGGAUUCAUAGAUGUGCAGCUCCCAAUCUACCUCUGGGGCUUGAAAAACAUCCUGGAAUUGGGAGGAAGUGGAUGUCUAGUUCAUGGCCACCUUUGAUUCUACACUCUUACCUGCAGCCAUGCACCCCUCUUUGCUAAUCUUCAGCCACCAGUCCUCAACAGAAAGAUUCCACAAUGACAACUGGGAAGCUUACAUGAAGCAGAACUGAGUUCCUGUGGUUAGUUAUAUGCGAUAUCAGAAACAGAAUGCCAUGGAGAUAAAAACAUGAAUU